CGGGUGCGUAACGCGUAUGCAACCUACCAUCAACAGGGGGAUAACACUGAGAAAUUGGUACUAAUACCCCAUAAUAUCUCAUGCGGCAUCGCAUGGGGUUGAAAACUCCGGUGGUUGAUGAUGGGCAUGCGUUGUAUUAGCUAGUUGGUGAGGUAACGGCUCACCAAGGCGACGAUACAUAGGGGGACUGAGAGGUCAACCCCCCACAUUGGUACUGAGACACGGCCAAACUCCUACGGAAGGCAGCAG
rnacentral:rRNA from 1 species